rnacentral:rRNA from 1 species
CCUACGGGUGGCAGCAGUGGGGAAUAUUGGGCAAUGGACGAAAGCCUGACCCAGCAACGCCGCGUGAGCGAUGAAGGUCUUCGGAUCGUAAAGCUCUGUCGCAGGGGACGAAGUAUGACGGUACUCAGUAAGAGAGCCUUGGCAAACUACGUGCCAGCAGCCGCGGUAAUACGUAGGGGGCUAGCCGUGGCCGGAAUUACUGGGCGUAAAGGGAGCGUAGGCGGUUUGUCAAGUUAAGUGUGAAAGCCCGGGGCUUAACCGGGGAAGUGCACUUGAAACUGACUUGCUGGAGUGCAGGAGAGGAGAGUGGAAUUCCAGGUGUAGCGGUGGAAUGCGUAGAUAUUUGGAGGAACACCAGUGGCGAAGGCGACUAACUGGACUGUAACUGACGUUGAGGCGCGAAAGCGUGGGGAGCAAACAGGAUAAGAUACCCGGGUAGUC